CGUGGCGACGCGGAAUCUGAAGGAAGUCGGCGGCAAACAUCUGCUCUGACGGACAGAAACAUGAUAUAAGGCCGGUGCAAGUGAGGUGAGUCUGCAAAAGAAGACAAAGCCCGAUAGUUAUCCGGAACUUGCAAAGGUAAAUCAUGCAGAGAUAAGAUGGAAAGAG
rnacentral:ncRNA from 1 species